UCUUACUGUCUUAAAAACUCAGAUUCUUUCAUUGAAAUGGCAUUAAGUAAACUUAAGACAAUGCUACAUGGAUUAGAGACUACCUAUAGUGCACCCAACUUGCAGGAUGUCAUUUAGUAUGCGUGUAUUCUUAACCCAACUUGCAGCCUAAUGGCUUUUUAAAGUCAAAACUUCCAUAGUCCUUUUGCAGUAUGAUUUUUGAGGCAUAUGGAGACAGAAUCUGAGCCAAUAUAUUUUAUUCCAAAUGAGGCUCUUUGAUUUCUCACAUGCUUUUGAAAUGUGAUGUUUGUCUACCCUGGAAAACUCUGCCGUUUCAACUCUCUGGAAAGCUAGGAAAGGUUUUGAAUAAUUGUAUCAUGGGUAGUUUUUGGAUUCCACUACUUGUGGGCUACUUCUGCUGGAUAAAUGUGUUGCCUACAUACAGUAUUCUCUUAACCCUGCUUCUCAAAAUCCUAUAUUUUCUGUUGUCAAGUCAAGAAUUACAAAGCCACACUUUGGCAUGGAGAAUACUACUCUACAGUUACUCAUCCUUAAUGACCUGUAGUACAGAAAAGUGAAAACAUUGUGGAGGAGAUAAAUUACCAAAAUAGAAGAUAAGCUGAAAAGGCAAUGGAAAAUAUAUCAUACAUAUCAAAGUUGCUCAUUUAUGCUAUUUUGCCAUAACAAUGCAUACAACUGAAGCACUUCCCUUCUCCAUUGGAGUUUUGUCUCUAGAGGUAUUAAAUAUUAAUCUUAUAAAGAAAAGAAAGCAAAAAAAAAAAACCCUGAACACAUGUUAAUAGGUUAGGGUUUUAAGAGCAAAUCACAAAAGCAGAAUAAGUACUUGGAGGAAAAAAACAGGAAGAGAGAGAAAGAGGGAGAGAGAGAGAGAGGUGGGGUAAAUUGUGGACCCUCCUUUUAAAGAAACAAAAUUUUCCACAGAGUUGCAUUAAUACUUAAAUUGGACUAACUCCAUGUGAAUCCUCGUAAGAAAUACUAUUUCCUUUCAAUUAACUCAUCUAUCCUACAAUUACAUGUCAUGAAAUCUAAAGGCAAAUAUGUUUACCCAGUAAGGGAAUAACAUUCGAGGCAAAAGUGAUGUCACAAACAGAUGGGAAUUCCAAGUAAUACUGAGUCAUGGUUCUAGGGGAAUAAAACAAUUACUUUACAGCUCAGUGCAAUGUAGUAUUUAAAGAAAAGGUAUUUCAAUAGAAUAGCCCAGACAAUUAUUCAACAUUUAACAGAGAUUAUAUUAGUCUAGAUAUGUUAAUUUGGAUUUUAUUCUGUUUUUUAUUUAUGUUAAUAGGUUUGGUUACUGGUUUAAAGAAAUAUUAGAAGUUUAUCUUUUAUUUUUACAAAUAGAUUAACAUUUGUCUUAGAGGGAGUUCUGCCCUUCAUGGAUAAUACCUUUACCUGCUAAAUCUAGAUUUCUUUUUCUAUAGUAAGUUUUAAACCAGUAAUUGAUGUAAAAAGAUGCAACAAAUAAAAUUAUAGCUACUAAUGGGCAUGUAUUUAUUAUACAGUAGGCAAUUUGCAGAAAGUUUUAUGUAUAUUAUUUUUAUUAAUCUUUAUGACAUUGGAAUUCCAUCAGGUAGGCAUUUUGAUUCCCAAGUAAACUAAAGAGAAGAAAACUGAGGCUUAAAGAGGGUAAGUGAUUUGCCAAGGGUCACAGAACAAGUAAGAGGUACAGCUGGAUUCAAAUUUAAGUAUAUCUUGUCCUCAAGUCUUUCCUCUUUAUUUCCUACUAAAACUAAAAAGGGUAAUGGCACAGCAGCUAAUCAUAUUUGAUGUAUUAAAACAUAAAUACUGGUGUCAAAUAUAAGUACUAAAUCAGGCAUCAGUUCCUUCCUACUAAAAACAUUAAAAAACAAUUCAGCAAAAAUUCGUACUCUGCAGGAUCAUAGAGUGCUUUGAUACCCUCAUCUACAGCAGUGUUUCUCAACCUUUUUAUUCAUUGUUGCUCUCCUAAGGGACCUUCUUAGACAUUUUUUUCAUACUUGUCUCCCAAGAAAUUUUAAUACUAUAGAUAUACCAUAUAUCUAUGUACCAUAUGUAUAUCUGUGCUCAUACAUAAAAAGAAUAAGUUUUUGCUCCUUAGAAUAAUUUUUUUGCCCUUUGGGAGCAAUGAAUAUGUAUGAUUUAGAUAUUAUACCUCUAUGUUUCUCCAAAACCUUUCAAGUCACUCUUAUUGCUUACAAUUGUAUGGGCUUAGAGCUUUAGAUUUUUAGCUUAAAGUUUUUCAGUGUGUUAAAAUGCAAAUAUAUAGAAAACGUUGAUGAACCACAACAAGCCAUUUGUAUCCUGGUGUAAAAUAGAAGCUCAGAAAGCCAGUUUGAUAAGGGAAAGGAGAAGAAUGGGAGGUCACUCUGUAUUGGGGCAGGGAAGGGGAAGAGCGGAGAGCCUCUGGUGUUGAAAUGCCUGCGUCACAACUGUACUUCAGUCCAGUCCCGUUGAACAUAUUAACACAAGUAUUUGAAGAAAAGAUGCUAGCUCCUAUUCAUGAUGAACAAGAAAACUUAGUCAUAAGCCACCUUAGUGGCCAUCACCCUAUUAUUGUGUAAAUAUUAGGUUUCCUGCUUGUAAAGAAUUUGCUGUUUGGUUCCUUUCAGGCCUGUUUGCGUGUUCCCAACUGCUAUGUGGCCAAGAAUAAAAAAUGAGUGCAGAAAGGACAAGUAGUUUUCGUGAAACCACUUGGAAGUGGAGGAGAAGGGUUUUGAACUCCCAUCAUCUCAAGCUCAUGCUUUGCCAUCUCACCACAGUGAAAUGAUGGAAAACUCAAGUCUGCAAACCUUAAAUUUUCAAUCAAAGGGAGGAAACCUUGGGCAAAUGAAGAGGUCAUGGAUAUGAUAUGAAAAUAUUUUAUGAUUUUGCAUGUGAGAAGCUACUGCAUAGAUGAAUUCAACUGCAGGAUCCCUUUUAAAAAAUAUGUAUCUUCAAGAUUGAGUGUGAGCCUUCACAAACUCCUCCUUGUAUCUUAAGUCUGCUGGAGUACUGGCCUGACUCCACUCACUCACUGUGUACUUCGUUUGAAACUAACAAACAAUACAGUGACUGUCAGUAGAUGUUGCCUCCUCAGUCUACAGAGCCAACAAAAAUUAUGGAAAAUGUCAUCAGAUUUCCAUGACAACAUCACGCUGUAUAAUCAACAUGGUUCGAACUAGUCACAUCUUUGCACAACUGGACACAUCAAAAUAAUUGUAUUAUGUCAUCAGUGAUGCCACCAGACAGAGCACCAGCUCCCUUCCUACACUGGAUAGCAGACGUUCAAAUAACGCAAUGUACUGAAGAACUAAUACAGUUUAGACACCAGAGGUCUCACAAGUUAAACCCUCUAUAUAAUACAGAGCCCUCCUGAGAAUCAACUUAAGGUGAAAUGUUUUAAAGAAGAGAUAAUGGUGGUGGUGUGGUGGUACAUGUUGAGCAACCAGCUCUCUGGAGCAACUGAAAAAUACUUCUAAUCUGGCAAAUUCAGCGAGAAGACUGAGUUCCUUAAUUUCUGUCAGCACCAGUGAAAAACUGUCCUAAACUGACCCUGGCUUACAGAUGUACCACUGGAUCUUGGACUAAAUGGUAAUGGUAAUCAUUCUGAGCUUCCAUUAAAAUUCUAAGCCUUCUUCCAUUUUAUUUCUUAUUAACAGCUAUUAUUGUUGUUGUUGUUGUUGUUGUUGUUGUUGUUGUUGUUAUUAUAGCAAAGAAGAACAGCAGAAUGGUUGGUGGAGAUUCCUAUGCUUUCGACCCAUGGCGGGGUCACUAAGUCAGGUGAAUCACCUCCCACCCCUAAAGAUUCCCACCCAGUUAUGCCUUCUAAUGUGCUGUUCACAGUUUAUCAACUGAUUCUGAAAUUCUGAGACUUAACAGUUUUAAACUGA
rnacentral:lncRNA from 1 species